GACGCUGAGGCUCGAAAGCGUGGGGAGCGAACAGGAUUAGAUACCCUGGUAGUCCACGCCGUAAACGAUGAAUGCUAGGUGUAGGAGGUAUCGACCCCUUCUGUGCCGGAGUUAACGCAAUAAGCAUUCCGCCUGGGGAGUACGGUCGCAAGACUGAAACUCAAAGGAAUUGACGGGGGCCCGCACAAGCGGUGGAGUAUGUGGUUUAAUUCGACGCAACGCGAAGAACCUUACCAGGGCUUGACAUUGAGUGAAAGAUCUAGAGAUAGAUCCCUCUCUUCGGAGACACGAAAACAGGUGGUGCAUGGCUGUCGUCAGUUCGUGUCGUGAGAUGUUGGGUUAAGUUCCGCAACGAGCGCAACCCCUAUCAUUUGUUGCCAGCACGUCAAGGUGGGAACUCAAAUGAGACUGCCGCGGACAACGCGGAGGAAGGCGGGGAUGACGUCAAGUCAUCAUGCCCCUUAUGUCCUGGGCUACACACGUACUACAAUGGGAUGGACAGAGAGCAGCGACCCCGCGAGGGCAAGCGAACCCCAUAAACCAUCUCCCAGUUCGGAUUGCAGGCUGCAACCCGCCUGCAUGAAGUCGGAAUCGCUAGUA
rnacentral:rRNA from 1 species